GUCACAGCUGAUGGAUAUAAGAAAAAAGAAACAGCUAGAAAAUAUCGGGCCGCCAAUUUUGACCGAAUUUUACAUGACUUUUUACACGUGGAUGGCCCAUUGAGCAAUAACGUUGAUGGUAGUUUUUUUUAAAAAUAAAAUUGCGUUAGAUAGUUUGAAUAUUUGAGUGAGAGUUUGAAAGUGAUAUACACUCGAUUUUUCUAAGUGAAAGAGAGUAUUUUUUAACAAGG
rnacentral:lncRNA from 1 species